UACGUAGGGUGCGAGCGUUAUUCGGAAUUACUGGGCGUAAAGCGUGCGUAGGCGGUUGGCAAAGUCAGCUGUGAAAGCCCCGGGCUUAACCUGGGAAUGGCGGUUGAAACUAGUCGACUAGAAUCUGGCAGAGGGGGGUGGAAUUCCACGUGUAGCAGUGAAAUGCGUAGAGAUGUGGAGGAACACCGAUGGCGAAGGCAGCCCCCUGGGCUGAGAUUGACGCUCAGGCACGAAAGCGUGGGGAGCAAACAGG
rnacentral:rRNA from 1 species